rnacentral:rRNA from 1 species
GACGAACGCUGGCGGCGUGCUUAACACAUGCAAGUCGAACGGAAAGGCCCAGCUUGCUGGGUGCUCGAGUGGCGAACGGGUGAGUAACACGUGGGUGAUAUGCUUCUAACUUCGGGUUACGCUUGGGAAACUGGGUUUAAUACCGGAUAGGACAAUCGUUUAGUGUCGGUUGUGGAAAGUUUUUUCGGUUAGGGAUGAGCCCGCGGCCUAUCAGCUUGUUGGUGGGGUAAUGGCCUACCAAGGCGGCGAUGGGUAGCCGGCCUGAGAGGGUGGACGGCCACAUUGGGACUGAGGUACGGCACAGACUCCUACGGGAGGCAGCAGUGGGGAAUAUUGCACAAUGGGCGCAAGCCUGAUGCAGCGACGCCGCGUGGGGGAUGACGGCCUUCGGGUUGUAAACCUCUUUCGACAGGGACGAAGCUUUGGUGACGGUACCUGUAAAAGAAGCACCGGCUAACUACGUG